GGACUGGGCGAGAAGUUUAGUCC
rnacentral:misc_RNA from 1 species